rnacentral:rRNA from 1 species
GGACUACAGGGGUAUCUAAUCCUGUUUGCUCCCCACGCUUUCGCGUCUCAGCGUCAGUCACCGUCCAGAUGGCCGCCUUCGCCACCGGUGUUCUUCUCGAUAUCUACGAAUUUCACCUCUACACCGAGAGUUCCACCAUCCUCUCCGGGACUCCAGUCGCGCAGUAUCGAAUGCACUUCCUGGGUUGAGCCCAGGGCUUUCACACCCGACUUGCACGACCGCCUACACGCGCUUUACGCCCAGUAAUUCCGAACAACGUUCGCACCCUCUGUCUUACCGCGGCUGCUGGCAC